GUGAGCUCUGUGUCUGUAAAUAAAUGGUAGUUUUGUUAGCUGUCUGCUGUCUGACCUCAAGUGAUUUCUUCCUAAUCUGGCUGCCCCCAAGGGAUAUAACAAGUGGUGAUGAUAGAUGGGAUUCCGGUGCUGCUCCAGUAACAGAAGGAAGAAGAAGUCAAGGACAACAACAGCCAGAGCCU